AUCCUUCCUCUACCUAUUGGCUAAAAUCAAAUGUGGUAUCUGUUCUUCCCAGUUAAAGUGUCUGACAUGUUCUUCAGCUGUGUAUUGGCUAUUAAAUUAAUGGUUAGAAUUAGGAGAUGGUUCGGGAGCUCACUCUAUCCACUCUCUGCCUCAGCUUGGAAUUGCAUUACUUCCAGGAACACUGCAAACCUU
ensembl:snRNA U2 U2 spliceosomal RNA